GCCUACUAACAUAUUUAUGCCACUUCCUCACAAUUAAAAAUAAGUAAAACAUUUUUGCUUUCAAGUAGAGGUGAUCGAAAAAACACUUAGAGCUUUAGAAACAGUACCGCAAGGGAAAGAUGAAAUAAAAAUGAAACAAAUCCCAAGUAUAUAAUAUUAGAGACUACAACUCGUACCUUUUGCAUCAUGGUUUAACUAGUCUAAUCAAGCAAAAUGAAAUUUCAGUUUGCACCCCCGAAACUAAGCGAGCUACUUCAAAACAGCCAAAAGAGCUAACCCGUCUCUGUAGCAAUAGAGUGGGAAGAUUUUCAAGUAGAGGCGAUAAACCUACCGAGCUUAGAGAUAGCUGGUUAUUCAAGAAAAGAAUUUUAGUUCCCCCUUAAACACAAUUAUGUUCACAAACAACAUCAAAGAUUUAAGAGUUAUUCAAUUAAGGCACAGCUUAUUUGAAAAAGGAUACAACCUACAUAAAUGGGUAAACACCAAAAAAUAUAAUAAGUAGGCCUGAAAGCAGCCACCUUUAUAAAAGCGUUAAAGCUUAAUAUAAUUACCUAAUUAAAUUCCACUAUUUAUUAUGAACCCUUAUUAAUUAUUGAAUGACCCCAUAACAAUAUGGAUACCAUUAUGUUAAAACUAGUAACACGAAUAUAAAAUUCUCCAAAAUGUAAACAUAGACCAAAAAUGGAUAAACCAUUGGUAUUUAACGAAUUUGAACCCUUAUAGAAAAACCACAAGAAAAUCCUAUAUAAAACCUUCAUCGUUAACCUUACACCAGAACAUUUAUGGAAAGAUUAAAAGAGAAAGAAGGAACUCGGCAAAUUUCAACCCCGCCUGUUUACCAAAAACAUCGCCUCUUGCUUAAUAUAAGAGGUCUAGCCUGCCCAGUGAAAUUUUAACGGCCGCGGUACUCUGACCGUGCGAAGGUAGCAUAAUCACUCGUUCUUUAAAUAGGGACUUGUAUCAAUGGCAUCACGAGGGUUGCACUGUCUCCUCUCUCCAAUCAGUGAAUCUAAUCUUCCCGUGAAGAAGCGGGAAUGUAAAUAUAAGACGAGAAGACCCCAUGGAGCUUUAAACCUUAUGGCAAUUUAAAUUAAACAAUUCCUUAUAUAUUUUAAAUAAUGCAUGAAGGUUUUAGGUUGGGGUGACCGCGGAGCAUAAAAUAACCUCCACAACGAAAAGACCUAAAUCUUUAUCCAAGAAUUACUAUUCUAAGAAUCAGAAUACUGAUGAAAAGUGACCCGAUAAUCGAUCAAUGGACCAAGUUACCCUGGGGAUAACAGCGCAAUCUACUUUAAGAGCUCAUAUCGACAAGUAGGCUUACGACCUCGAUGUUGGAUCAGGGUAUCCCAGUGGUGCAACCGCUACUAAUGGUUCGUUUGUUCAACGAUUAAAACC
rnacentral:rRNA from 1 species